CCCCCUACUCCUACGGGAGGCAGCAGUGGGGAAUAUUGCACAAUGGGCGCAAGCCUGAUGCAGCGACGCCGCGUGAGGGAUGACGGCCUUCGGGUUGUAAACCUCUUUCAGUAGGGAAGAAGCGAAAGUGACGGUACCUGCAGAAGAAGCGCCGGCUAACUACGUGCCAGCAGCCGCGGUAAUACGUAGGGCGCAAGCGUUAUCCGGAUUUAUUGGGCGUAAAGAGCUCGUAGGCGGUUUGUCGCGUCUGCCGUGAAAGUCCGAGGCUCAACCUCGGAUCUGCGGUGGGUACGGGCAGACUAGAGUGAUGUAGGGGAGACUGGAAUUCCUGGUGUAGCGGUGAAAUGCGCAGAUAUCAGGAGGAACACCGAUGGCGAAGGCAGGUCUCUGGGCAUUUACUGACGCUGAGGAGCGAAAGCAUGGGGAGCGAACAGGAUUAGAUACCCUGGUAGUCCAUGCCGUAAACGUUGGGCACUAGGUGUGGGGGACAUUCCACGUUUUCCGCGCCGUAGCUAACGCAUUAAGUGCCCCGCCUGGGGAGUACGGCCGCAAGGCUAAAACUCAAAGGAAUUGACGGGGGCCCGCACAAGCGGCGGAGCAUGCGGAUUAAUUCGAUGCAACGCGAAGAACCUUACCAAGGCUUGACAUGUGCCAGAUCGCCUCAGAGAUGGGGUUACCUAUG
rnacentral:rRNA from 1 species